rnacentral:rRNA from 1 species
UAGUGGCGAACGGGUGAGUAACACGUGGGCAAUCUGCCCUUCACUCUGGGACAAGCCCUGGAAACGGGGUCUAAUACCGGAUAACACUUACCUCCUCCUGGGGGUGGGUUAAAAGCUCCGGCGGUGAAGGAUGAGCCCGCGGCCUAUCAGCUUGUUGGUGGGGUAAUGGCCUACCAAGGCGACGACGGGUAGCCGGCCUGAGAGGGCGACCGGCCACACUGGGACUGAGACACGGCCCAGACUCCUACGGGAGGCAGCAGUGGGGAAUAUUGCACAAUGGGCGAAAGCCUGAUGCAGCGACGCCGCGUGAGGGAUGACGGCCUUCGGGUUGUAAACCUCUUUCAGCAGGGAAGAAGCGCAAGUGACGGUACCUGCAGAAGAAGCACCGGCUAACUACGUGCCAGCAGCCGCGGUAAUACGUAGGGUGCGAGCGUUGUCCGGAAUUAUUGGGCGUAAAGAGCUCGUAGGCGGUCUGC